rnacentral:rRNA from 1 species
GACGAACGCUGGCGGCGUGCUUAACACAUGCAAGUCGAACGGAAAGGCCCUGCUUUUGUGGGGUGCUCGAGUGGCGAACGGGUGAGUAACACGUGAGUAACCUGCCCUUUACUUUGGGAUAACUUCAGGAAACUGGGGCUAAUACCGGAUAGGAGCUCCUGCUGCAUGGUGGGGGUUGGAAAGUUUCGGCGGUUGGGGAUGGACUCGCGGCUUAUCAGCUUGUUGGUGGGGUAGUGGCUUACCAAGGCUUUGACGGGUAGCCGGCCUGAGAGGGUGACCGGACACAUUAGGACUGAGAUACGGCCCAGACUCCUACGGGAGGCAGCAGUGGGGAAUAUUGCACAAUGGGCGGAAGCCUGAUGCAGCAACGCCGCGUGCGGGAUGACGGCCUUCGGGUUGUAAACCGCUUUCGCCUGUGACGAAGCGUGAGUGACGGUAAUGGGUAAAGAAGCACCGGCUAACUACGUG